AAGCUUCAAACUACAAUGUUCAUGUAGCACCCACAUCUCUAAAACUAAUAAACUAUAAAAUUAAAGAAAGAGAAGAGAAGAAAAACUUGUAGAAAGCCUGCUCCAAGUGUGAUUUGUGUUCUCCCAUCCAAAGUGGUGCAUUCUCCCCCCAAAAAUAUGUUGGAUCCCUCAAAAUUAGGUUUAGGACCCUUUUAUACGAGUUGGGAUUGUGAAAGACCAAAAUGACAUUGUCCCAGGACGAAAUAGGAAAACACGUAUCACAGCAUCCAGACCAGUGCUCGGCCAACAAUGAGUUUUGGGAUUUCGCUCUUGAAUCCUAUAGCCAGGUACGUUUUUUUUUUUUGCCUUCUUUCUUUUAAAUUGUAUUUCUCUUUCUUUUUGGUUUUCAA
rnacentral:lncRNA from 1 species